rnacentral:lncRNA from 1 species
GAAUUGAUGGAAUACCUCUCCUGGGAUUAUACUUUGUUGUUGUGAUGCAUCAGGAGGGAAACAAUCUUCGCUGGGAAGAGUCACUGAAGAAGGCGUUGCAUCUCUCUUCUCCUUGCUUGCUUUCUUAUUCUUGAACGAGAACAAGUUAGAAACUUUCCAUGAAGAUUUCAAGCUUCCCGUAUCAGUGAGCUCUUGAGGAGGGAAACAAUCUUCGCUGGGAAGAGUCACUGAAGAAGGCGUUGCAUCUCUCUUCUCCUUGCUUGCUUUCUUAUUCUUGAACGAGAACAAAUUAGAAACUUUCCAUGACGAUUUCAAGCUUCCCGUAUCAGUGAGCUCUUGAGGAAGCUGUGCUUUGGAAGCGUCAGAGACUGAUUUUGACCUUGCA